UUACGGCCACAUCAGGUUUAAACUGCGGUUCCCGUACCAUCACCAAAGUAAAGAAACAUCGAGCCUUGUCAGUAACUAGGUGGGUGAUCACUUGGGAAUACCAGGUGCUAUA